AAUUUUGGACAAUUGGGGAAACCCCGAUCCAGCCCUGUCGUGUGUCUGAAGAAGGUCUUUGGAUUGUAAAGCACUCUAUGAUGGGAGGAAGGGCUUUAGGUUAAUACCCUUUAUUUUUGACGUUACGAACAGAAUAAUCACCGUCUAACUCCGUUCCAGCAGCCGCGGUAAUACAGAGGGUGCAAGCGUUAAUCGGAAUUACUGGGCGUAAAGCGCGCGUAGGUGGUUCAGUAAGAUGGGUGUGAAAUCCCCGGGCUUAACCUGGGAACUGCUUUCAUAACUGCUGAGCUAGAGUACGGUAGAGGGUAGUGGAAUUUCCUGUGUAGCGGUGAAAUGCGUAGAUAUAGGAAGGAACACCAGUGGCGAAGGCGACUACCUGGACUGAUACUGACACUGAGGUGCGAAAGCGUGGGGAGCAAAC
rnacentral:rRNA from 1 species